rnacentral:rRNA from 1 species
GUAGGGAAUAUUGGGCAAUGGAUGCAAGUCUGACCCAGCCAUCCCGCGUGCCGGAAGAAGGCCCUCAGGGUUGUAAACGGCUUUUGACGGUGAAGAAUCGACAGGAUGCGUCCUGUUUUGACGGUAGCCGUUGAAUAAGCACCGGCUAACUCCGUGCCAGCAGCCGCGGUAAUACGGAGGGUGCGAGCGUUGUCCGGGUUUAUUGGGUUUAAAGGGUGCGUAGGCUGGAAGGUCAGUCAGCGGUGAAAAGCUGUCGCUUAACGAUAGUCUUGCCGCAGAUACUUCCUUUCUUGGAUGAGGAGGAGGCCACUGGAACGGAUGGUGUAGCGGUGAAAUGCAUAGAUAUCAUCCAGAACACCGAUUGCGAAGGCAGGUGGCUGUACCUUAAUCGACGCUGAUGCACGAAAGCAUGGGGAGCAAACAGGAUUAGAAACCCGUGUAGUCC